UUCUAUGCCAAACGGAACAACCUUAAACCUAUAAUUUAAAUACCACAAGCCUCGCAUCAUUCAUUCAUAAUGUGAUUAAAUUAUGAGACAUUUACGAGUAUAUGUAAUUGGCAAUGAAGGGUUUUUACAACAUUGUCAUUCCUCAAUCAUUUUUUAGGGAAAUUCAAAAAUAUGAUUUAUGGUUUGGAAUAAUCUAUGUUUGACUAAUAAAAUAGUUAUUUUGUUAUGUUUAUUUCUUCAAUACUUUUAUUCAUGAUUUUAUUAAGUUAUUUGUUGUGGGAAGGGAUGAAAAUGAAGAUGUGGUACCAGAAAGAGGAAAUUAGAGGAACUCAGGUGAAUAUGGAGGUUGGAGAAAAAGGAAAUAAAAGAUUAAGAAAGAAUAAAAAAGAAAAAACCUUUGACACUAAGGAAUAACACCAUCAGUCCUUGUCUGAGAUAACAUCCAUCAUUUGUAUCCUGAAAGGAGAACAAGUGUGGGCGUUAGGCAUGGAGAGAAUGUUGCCCUUAAACGAGAAGCUCUUUGAGUUUUAUAAGUAAACACUUCUAGAUAUAUAUAACCCGAAACUGAUUAUUUAGGCUUAGUCAUUAGGAUCCCGAAAGGAGACUAAGUGUAACGACCCAACUUUUCAAACUAAGUUAGAGAUCAUUACUUCGACCUAAAGACUCUCUAAUAAAUCACCCAAAAUAAAUCAUCAAUAACAUAAAAGAUUUGCAAAUUGUUUAAAGAACAAUAGUCAAAUAGAAUUCAACUUGAGCCCUAUUCAAACAAAAUAAAAAUAAAAUCACUAACAACUAAGUAGUUGUUCUAAACGUAAAACUUUCAACCAUCAGAACUUAGCAAAAAAUAAUAAUAAUAAUAAUAAGCGGAAGCAAAUUGUGAAAAUUGAGUUCUCAUAUGGCGAUCACGAGUCCUUCUUGUCCCUCGUUGGUCUACCUCUCGUAUUAUCUUUGCCUGAAAGAGUUAAACAAAAAAGGGUUAGUAUAAAAUAUACCUAAUAAGAGAUCCACUAUUGGUCCCGUUAAGGGUAAAAACAAUUAACUUCUUAUUCAUAGGAAACUUGCAUCAUAACCAUCUCGUAUUUUUGUAGGAAGCACAUAGUCAGUCUAAUGCUUCUGAAGAAUGCAUGUAUUAUUCUUGUGCACUUGAAGGAUGCACAUAUCGAUCUAGUGCUCCCGAAGGAUGCACAACAAGUGGUGAUCCUAGAGGACACCAACAAGGUACGCUACCCCAUAGAUAAAGCUAGAUAAAGCUAACAAUUUUCCCUCCAUCCAUUCUAGCAAUUCAAACAGUCAACUCAAAAUACAAUCCAAACUUCAGUUCAACACACAAACAGUCAAAAUAACCAUACUAGUGCAUAAUAAUCAAACCUUCUCAAUUCAGUCUACAUAUAAACCAUCAAUACAUUCUAAUGCAUAGCAAUCAAACAUUCUAAUUCAGUCAGUUCAACAUUCUCAAUUCAGUCAAUACAUUGCAACUUUGAUAUAUAGAUGAAUAGUAGUAAAUCUCUUAUCUUGCAACUUUGAUAUAGAGAUCAAUAGCAGUAAAUCUCUUAUCUUAACUUUACCUAAGCUCCUUGAUAAAAUUAAAAUUCAACCAACCAACCUAAACAUAAAGAUAAGAAAUUCAACAUUUUCUCAAUGGAUGAUAUCCAUUUAAUUCACUCAAACAUGAAUUUUUCAACUUACCCAAGUAAUUGGAGGAUCAAACACAAAUCAAACUUAUUGAAAAUUCAAGGAUCUGAUCGCUAUCCUCAAACAGUACCUUCAAGAAUCAAAUAGCAUUCCAACCAAUUAAUACAACGCCAAAACUUAAACAAUGGCAAUGAAAACAACCACAAUUCCACAAAUUACACGCUUACCACAACGACGACAGUUUACAACAAGACAGAGGCAACAACUCAGAUCUGAGCGUGGCUCGAAGACUACUGGAAUCACGAUUGAACUUAGCAUAGACAAAGAUGAAGCUGCAAUGAACGUGGCAGCACAAAACAGGGAACAGACGUCGGUGUUUCAGUUCAAGUCAAAGAGAUGAUGGAUCACGACACAUCAGAGGUGACUCGAAGGAUGCAGCAGCGACAUUUCACGAAAUAGAGAAGGAGCAUAAAUGCACACUCGACUUAAACCCGAAAAGCAUAAUGUUUCAGCUUUGACUUCGACCGGACAGGAGCGACUCGGGCUAAUGGAGACGCGACGUACACGACGUGCAACUUAGCUAGCGCUCGACUUCAACGAUCGGAGGCUUCAACGGCUGCUCGAUUGAUGGAGAGUCAAGGAUAAGCAACGGUGGUAGGACACAAGAAAGAGGAAGAGUGUUCAAGGAGAUGAGGGCACGUGAUUUGAGCUUUCUAAAUAAUAAAUAUUAUAUUAUUAUUAACCUCGUUAUUUUCCUUUCCUUUUUCCUUAGUAAAAGUAAUAUUCUCUUUUCUCACCAAACUCUAACAAAAAUAACACCAAAAUUUUUUUAACCAAAUAUAUAAGAUACUUAUGCUUGGAGAAAUACCUCAAAAGUAAUAUUCUCUUUGCAAAUGUUUAGGCGAGACCAAAUGUGGUGUUUAAUGAUUUCGAGAGGAGCACGUCUUAAUCAUAAACUUACCAAACAAGUUAUAUUCCAUCAAGGUUUCUAUAGAGCUUAAUUUCCUGACAGCAUUAGACAUUCCUUCACUUCUUCUCGCAAAUAAGUUAGUUCAUCUUUCGAUCUCACAACCAUCUCAAUUUUCCUUUAUAGAUUUUUUGAGUGUACAUAAGUAGAUUUAGUGUUAUUUAUUUUAUUAUAUUGUAUAGUUAUUUCUUUCUACAGCCUGAUUGAUGAGUAGACUCUAGAACUUGAUUUGAUAUUAAUUUCCUCUGUUCGACCCUAGAUCAUCCAGAAAAACCUAUUGUUUUGCUUACACUUGGACAAGCAAUAAGAAAAAUUCUACAACAAGGACUUAGAAGUAUGUGACAGACUAUGGUAGCAUUUUGCAUGCAAUGAUCAUAUCCACUCACAUGAUGAAGAGAUUCAUGAGAAGAAUUUUACAUGCAGUGAUUCUAAAUCAAUGACACAUCAUGGAUAAUUAAGUAUGCAUACAACACACCAACAUACGCAACAACACUAUUACGCAUAUUGUUAAGCCUUUGUGUGUAGAAUUAGAGUCCUCACUAGGCUCCUGGAGUUGACUAACUAGGUCAAGUUGUAGGCAUGGUUGUAUGGGAUUGACUCUUACAAACCCACAAACCAAACACAUAAACAUACAGACAUAAACAACCUACAACUAAGAAAAAUAGGCUAGGUUGUGCAUGAUUGACUCUCAACAAACAUUGAUCUCACUAGCAUUGCAAUGACCUAGGUAACUUAAUUUUAAUUCUAAGCUAACUACGAACAAAUUCACAGGGAAUUAUCCUUAGAUUUACAUAGGUGAGGGCAGCUCAACAACCCUAGCCCAAUAAGCAUUCCAUUUAAAAAAUAAGACUGGGUAGAUGGCUAGAAACAAGGGUGCAAAACGAAAUUCACCCCUACCUACUUUCCGGUUAGUAAAUAAGUUGUUCUCUUAAUAAAUGAAUCCAAGUCUUGAACAAAGGGCCCCACCCUCUCAUUGGCCCGAGAGAAAUUCGGUUUAUAUAGGUGUUGGAUUUUGUUUUUGCCAUUUUGCAAACAAUAAAUUUAUGCGCUAUGGACUUAAUUAUUAUAAUUAAAUUAAUCUAUAAAUUUUCACAUGUACAUACGUGUUGUGUUGAUACUAGCAAGUGUCAAACACUCACAUUAUUGUUUUUUUUUUUAUUUUAAUGGUCUCCAAACACCCCAUUAUAGCCUAAAGAAUUGAUUUAGCAACUAGCAAUGACUAUUAAUAACUUGGUUAGCCAACGUUAUUAUUCGAUUAUGUUCGUAAAUGAAGUUAGAACAAUUUUGAAAACAUAAAAAGUUCACAUGUACACAAUAGAAAAUAUCAAAAAUGCUUCGGUCAACACAUGAUUAAUCGGCAAUACACACAAGUGCAAUUCUUCUUCUAAACGAUUAUGAUACGCAAGCAUGUAGGAAAUUAUACACGAUCACGUUGGUAUUAUCAACAUGAUCGUGUAGUUCUUUUUAACAACGGAAAAAAUGCUUCAAAUCUAAACGACCGUGUUGAUCACGCUAAACGAUCGUAUUGACUAUGGUAAGCAAUCGAAUUAGAAUUUUAUUAUUUGUUAUUCAUCAAUUUAUUUAUCUAUUUACUUAUUUUGAACCUCAUCCACCUGAAGUCUUAUUUUUAAGUUUCUCAAACAAAAUGUUGUUAGAGAUUGCAUUAAUUAUCUUAAUUUAUAACCUUAUGACCUUAGCCUAACUACAAUUUAAAGUGAUUGUGGUUUGUUAAAACUUCAUAUAUAGUUCUUAUCAUAAAAUAGUUGUACUCAAAUAACUUUAGACCAAUUUUGUUUUAAAAAUCACCAAAAUUUCAAUGAACUCGUUGACAAAAACAUAGAAAAUUGCAGUUAUGAAAUGCACUUAAAGAUUAAGGACAACCUAUUUUGAAUACAUUUUCUUAAUUUAUCUUCCAUGACUUGCGCUCUCUCUCUCUUCCCACAUAAUAUUUAAGAGCCACUCUCCAACAUAAUUGAGAAAAAAUUCAUCCCUCAUUCUAACAAAGAAAAGAAAAAUAUCUCCAAAACUCAACAACUACACCAUUUAUCUUUAUUUAUUCAAUUUGCUUCCUUCUUAAUAUAAUGGCUAUGGUACGAUGCUCUCUAGUUUUCUUCCUCAUCUCUUCGUUGGUCAUCUCCUACUUUUCCCCAAGCAUCGCAACUUCAAGAAACAUGCUUCAAAUCAUUCAAAAUCCUACAACAGGAACAAGCGUCUACGACAUUUCGAAACUUCACUUAAAUGGUGAAACGGUUCCAAGUCCACCCAAUCGCUUGACGGGUUCUUCAAAAAUUGCAAGCCUAAAGGCUUUAUUCCAUGGUCUGCUCCAAGUCCAUUGAGAAAUAGUGUUCAAUGCUAACCAAUACUCCCUUAAACCUAUAGUUUAAACACCACAAACCUUGCAUUAAUCAUAAAGAAGGGCAUAUAUAUAUAUAUAUAUAUAUAUAUGUAAUUGACAAUUAAUUUUAUAAUUUAUAAAUAAAGGUUUGGACUAUUAUUUCAUAAUCAGUUGCUAGUGAAAUAAAAAAUACAAUUUGUUGGAAUUUACGACAUAUAGUUUGGAACAAUUAGUUUUAUUAAUCAAAUAAUUAUUUGUUAUACGACAAUAAGACAACUCAAUUAUUUAGAGUACGCUUGGAUUAUCUUGAAAAAAAAUGUUUUUCAAAAGUAUAUUUCUUUGAAGCAAUUUCUUUAAAAUGAGUUUAAAAUUUAAGCACUUAUAUAAGCUUUGUUUAUAUACAAUAUUAUGUUUAAAAUGUAAUACUUUUUGUUUUUAUUUUUGUUUUAAAACAUCAAUUUAGAAUUUAAGAAUUAAGAAUUAAGAUUUAAAAUUUAAAAUUGAAAUUGAAAUUGAAAUUUAAAUUCUUUUAAAAGAAUAAUAAAUAAAUGCAGGACAAAAUACGAUAUCUAAAGUUUGCUCCCCUUUGUCCAUCCUGAAAAAUAUUUAAAGGUGGACAAAGGAAAUAGAUAAGAUAUUUGGGCCAAUUUUUUUCUUUUUUUAGAGAAAAAAAAAUAUCAACUUUAGCUCUAAGACUAGGUUUGAUAAAUAAGAUAAAUGACCUAAUAGAAAAGUUCGACCCCAGCUUUAGAUCUGGGCUCGAUUUAACCAAAUUUGAAAAACAAAACAUCAACCUUAGCUUUAGGACUAGGUUUGAUAAAUAAGGGAAAAGACCUGAUAGACAGGCUUCGACCUCAGCUUUAGAUCUGGGCUCGAUUUAACAAAAUUUGAAGAAAACAAAAAGCAUCAACCUUAGCUUUAGGACUAGGUUUGAUAAAUAAGAGAAAGAACCUGAUAGAUAGGCUUCAGCCUCAGCUUUAGAUCUGAGCUCGAUUUAAUCAAAUUUAAAAAAAAAACAUAAACCUUAGCUUUAGGACUAGGUUUGAUAAAGUGUUCAUCCUUCUUUUAAAACCGAGUUGAAAUUUAAUUUGAAAAUAUUGUGCUUUUCAAAGAAAUAAAUAGCUCACUACUCCAUUUUACCAAUAUCAUUAACAAUUUAUCAGCAUGGUCGUCAUAGGAUAGAAUAAGACAUGUAUCACAAGAACUUUUUAAGUUGUCAAACUCGCCACUCUUCAUAUCAAACAAAUGAAUCCAAAUUGCAAAAGAUUGUACUAUGUUGUAAAGAUAUAAUGUUGUUUUAGUCUUGGACUUCACAAAACAUGAAUCCUUUAGGAUGUAGACUUUCAAUUGCAGCAACUCACAAUCAUAGAUAAAUUUGUCUGGACUUGUAAACACCUACUUUUUCUUAAGUCUUAACAAGAGAAAAUUAUAGCUUUUCCUUGGUUUGCAAAUACAAUAAGUUGUACUGAAUCAUUGUUAAUUAACAAAUAGAUAGAACAAUAGACUAAUGAAUAAUUGAUGUUUACUAUAAUUUGAUGAUAUUUUAAAAAGGAUGAAAGAAAGGAUUGACAAAUAAAGAAGUGUUUGAUAAAUAUGAUAAGAAAUGAAAGGAUAGCUAUGAUUCUUGGAAUAGGAGUACAAAGAGAGGAGGUAAGAGAAACUUUAUACCUAUGAAAAUAACAUUCUAAGAACUAAAUGUAAGUUUCCUAGAAAUACCCCUGACUUCUUUCAAUACUACGAAAUUUUCUAUGAAAAGGCCUCACGCAUAAUAUAUUCGAACAUAAUAUGAAUUCACAGGAUUUUUUAACUCAACGCCAUCCAUAUUGAUUCAAAGCAAAGCUCCUUCUGAAAAAGUCUUUUUCACCACAAACGGACCUUCACAAUUUGAGUCCAUUUUUCUCGAUGAUCCUUUUGAAAUGAAAAUAUCAUUUUUAACACCAAAUCUCCUUCUCGAAAACUUCGAGGGUGCAAUUUUUUAUUGUAUGCUCGCAUUAGUCUUCUUUGGUAAAGUUGUCCAUGACUUAAUGCUGCCAAACGUUUUUCUUCAAUGCUAUUCAACUGCUCAUAAUGACAUUCAACUUCAUCUAACUUAGCUUCCAUGAGAACUCUCAAUGAAGGUAUCUCAAGUUCUAAAGGUAGGACAACUUUCAUACUAUAAACCAAAUAAAAUGGUGUUGCCCCUGUUGAAGUACGAACUAAUGUAUGAUAUCCAUGCAGUGUAAGCGGUAAAAUUUUAUGCCAAUCUUUGUAUGUUGUUGUCAUAUUGUCAAUGAUUCUUUUAAUACUUUUGUUGGCUGCCUCAACUGGCCCAUUCAUCUUAGUGUGAUAUGGAGUCAAAUUUAUGUGAUUUAUCUUGAAUUUCUCACAAAGUUUGUCCAUCAUUUUCUUAUUAAGGUUCUUGGUAUUAUCUGUAAUAAUACCCUCCAGGAGACCAUAACGACAGAUCAACUCUUUCUUGAUGAACUUGAGCACCACUAAUUAAAAUGGCCACAAAGAAACGGCUAGAGUACUGACAAGACAUGGAAUGAAGACACUGCUUCGUGCAAAAUGUUAAAUUUAUAUGGAUCUUAUCCAUAUAAAUUUGACACUUUUUUACAUUUUCUUGCAUAUUUGAUGCAAUUUGAUUUUAUCGUUGUCUAAUAAUAACAAGAUCUAAGUAUUUGUCUAGCCAUCAUAUGUUCAUUAGCAUGUGUUCCACAUAUUCCUUCAUGAAUUUCUGUCAUAAUUUGUUUUGCUUCUUCCACAUCAACACAUCGAAGGAGCACCAUAGAAUGGUUUCUUUUAUAAAGAACUUUACCACUAAAGAAAAAAAGUUCAUGACUAACCUUCUUAUUGUAUGCUUGUCAUUCUAUGAAGCUCCAUAUGGAUAUUCUCUACACUUUAUGUAAUGCUUGAUGUCAAAAUACCAUGGCUUACAAUACAGGUGGCCUCUGGAAGUACUGCUUAAUUUUGUUGAAAGCUUCUUCACAAUCCUCAUUCUAUUUUCCUGGAUUGUUUUUACGUAAAAGCUUGAAGAUUGGUUGGCAUGUUGGUGUCAACUGCGAGAUAAAUCUGGAUAUGUAGUUCAAUCUUCCAAGAAAACCACAAACUUCUUUUUUUAUUUUAGGGAAUGACAUUUCCCUGAUAGCCUUCAUUUUAUUUGGGUCUACUUUGAUCCCUUCUUCACUGACAAUGAAUCCCAACAGCUUCCUCGAGGUUGCCCCAAAUGUACAUUUGGAUGGAUUUAAUUUCACUUGAUACUUUCUCAACCAAAUAAAUAAUUUUUGGAGUAUAGUUGUAUGACCUUCAUUUGCCUUGGAUUUUGCUAUCAUAUCAUAUUAAACUUCGUGAUAGCAAUAAAAGAAUAUCAUCGAUAAUAGCUAUAAAAAAUAUCAAUUAGUAGCCUAAUUAAACUUCGUCAAUUCAAAACUGAUAUCUUUACAAAGGAGAUAUCACUUAUAAAAAAUAUCUUUAUAAUGAUAUCACAUAUAAUUGCUAUUAGUGAUAUCCUCCUAAUGCAAUCAUUGAUAGAUAAUGUUAGUGAUCUCAUUUUGCAUUGAUAGCAAUAUAGAAAAGUUACAUGUAGUAGUUAUAUGAGGAAUAUCAAUUGAUUGCAACAUUGCUGAUAGAAGAUAGUCGUGAUGGCAACUGAUACCACAUUUCUCAAAUUGAAAGUUUUCAUGAUAACAACUAUUAGCGAGAACAACUAACUAUAACAACUGAUAGCCGUUAUCACCGGUGAUAACUGCUAACUAUAGCAACUGAUACCAUAUUUCUCAAAUUGAAAGUUACUCACAGUAGCUAUUAUACCUUUAGGUAUACCCUUCAGUAGCUAUUAUAGAUAACAUUCACUACUAGAAGACUAGCAAUACUUGAAGCUUGCAGUUUUGAAAUACUUGACAAUUCUAGUAAAAACUGUCAAGUAACAUGAAAAAACGUCAAGAAUAACAAAAAGUGAAAAAUGCAUUAUUUUUUAUUUUUUAUUUUAAAUAAUUGAAAGAUUAAAUGCAUCAAGGUUAGUUUUAAUUACUUGACAAUGUCAAGUAAUAUAUGUUUUUUUGCAUUUUCUAAAAAAACUUUUCCCUCUUAGUUGCUUCUCGGUAAUAGGGCUAUUACUACCUUUCGAUCUCAAAAAAAUAUUCACACAAGUCGAAAUCAACUGUUGUGGAAAACAGUGAAGGUAAGUGUAAACAUAUUUAUUUAUUAAUUAAAAGUAUAGUGUAUAUGAGCUAUUUGCACCAUUAAGUAUUUUGGUAAUUUAUGUAUUUAUAGUGUUCUUUGCAAGUUGGAGUAGCUGAAUGCGGGUACUAUGUGAUGAGAUACAGAGAUAUAACCACUAAUAGGAGCAUAGUAGUCAUAAAUCCAAUAUGUUAUGCUUAAAUGAUUGUUAAGUAAUCAAAGUAUUAACUUCAAUAUUUUGUGGGUUUCAUAUCAAAUUGAUACAAGGAGCUCAUAUAGUCAAUUCAAGUUGGAUCAAGUGUGAAUGAAGUUUGCUGAUUUCUUGGGUGGCCACGUAUAAUUAUGGUGAUUAUAUUUUGAGUUAGAUAGACAGAUUUUAUUGAUAUUUUGCUGAUAUUGGGUAUAGGUGAAGGACAAGUUUUGAUAUGGUACACCUUUAGGCUACACAUAGAUGGAAAGUUUAGGCUAUUGUUAGAAGAUUGAGCUAACUAUAUGUAUGAUUCAUUGAUAUAUAUAUAUAUAUAUAUAUAUAUAUAUAUAUAUGCAAUUUAUUAAAAUAUAAUUAGUUCUUUGAUGGAAAGUUUGAGUUUAUUCAAUUGUUCAAUAAAUGUGUAGUUUAGCAUAUUUGUGUACUAUUUUGAUUUACUUAUGUUCGUCAUUGUUGAACUGACAAGUGCAAAAUAAAUUAUGUAGAUUUUUUAAAAUAUAUAAUUUUUCAUUUGACAAUGUAGCAAAUGUAAAAAAAAUAAUUAUAUACUUGACGUUUAUAAACUGUCAAAUAUAGUUUUACUUGAUGUGUAAAAAUUGUCAAGAAAAAGACUCCUUAUUCCUGAUACUGGAUUACUUGACGCAUAAAAAAUGUCAAAUAAUUUCAUAUACUUGAUGUUUAUUACCUGUCAAGUAUAAUUGUACUUGACGCAUAAAAACGGCAAGUAAACCUCAAUUAUUCUUGACACUGGAUUAUUUGAUGUAUGAAAAAAUGUCAAGCAUAUAAAUACAUGACAGGUAAAAAAACGUCAAGUAAACCCUUUUUUGUAGUAGUGAUUUAUCAAUUAUAUAUAUCAACUCAUAACAUAUUGUAAUGGUGCAAGUUAUGAAUGAUAUAAUAUCUAUUAGUGCUAUUAAUGAUAACAAUCGAUAACAGUUAUAAGUGAUAUUCACUAAUUGCAGCAAUUAAUGAUAGCUCCCAACAUGAAAAAAAUCGAGAAGAAGUGUGUGAAAUAAUCAUUUCUCAAGUUGAAUGUUAUCAUUGAUAGCAGUUAUCAAGAUGCUAUCAAUGAUAGUUGUUAUCAUCGUUAAUUUUUAAUUUGAGAAAUUUAGAAAGAAUAGCCCAAAAUGGUGGUCGAAUAAUGUGGGUAUUUUGGUAUAGCUUUUACUAUUUUUGUGCUAUAUACGCUAUUAUUUUAGGGUUUUUUUUUUUUUUUUGCCAUUUAUGCAACUAAUCCUAAUCUUUAAUACUUCGAAGACUAAUUUGAUUGUCUUCUGGACGCUUUUGGAUUUGUUUUAAAGAUCGGUGAAUUGUCGAAAAUAACACAUAAGUUUUUGUCUUAAUUAAAAAAACUAGCAACCUUCUUAGAAACUCACUACAAUAGUUGUUUUUGGUAAAUGUUGUUCGACAUCAACCACCGAACGAUUUACUAAGAAUUUUAUCUUUUCUAACUUUUCCAUUUUAUUAAUUUUUUUUUUAAAGAUUCUACCCAUUUUUUUAAAAAAUGUAUAUAAUCUUUCUAAAAUUUAUACCAAAAUCUUACCUAAUUUAAAGUCAAAUUUUGCAAAAAAGGAAAAAAAAUUUAAGGAAAAUUGUUAUCCAUGGUCUUUUAAGAAUAUGACAAAAUUCUCAUCUUUUAAUAAAACGCUCUCUAUAUUAUUAUUUCUAAAAUCUAAAACUACCCUUCUCAAAACUACUACCCUUCUCAAAACUACUAUUCUCCAACUUAUUUCUUCUCUCCUUUUUAAUGCACUAAUCAACUCAAAACUAUCCUUCUCGAAACUACGAUUCUCUAACGAUUGAUCGAUUGAUCAAAUGCAAUAUGAAAUUGAUCAGAGUAAUUUAUUUUGUUGUGAUUUUUAAAUUGAUCAGAGUAAUUUAUUUUGUUAUGAUUUUUAAAUUGAUCAGAGUAAUUUAUUUUGUUGUGAUUUUUCUCUAUCUGAUGCGUGAGUUAAAUCUUAUUUAGGAUUUGGAGUUUAAAGAAUUUUAAAUUAGGAUAAAUAUUUUAAAAAAUUAUAAAAAAAUUAAAUUAGUUAAGAGUUGCUAUAUGUUUGAAAUAGUUAUAAUUUUUUUUAUAAAAAAUAUGUAAUUCCUGGAUAUUUAAACAAGAAAGUCAAACCAAUAGUUGAAAAGUUAAAUUUUCGAGCAAAUCACUCAAUGGUCAAUCUUGAAUGAGAUAUACGGAGAACACCACAUUGUAACGAGUUUUUGAAAGGAUGCUAGUUUUUUAAGAGUAACUAUGUUCUUUUUCGACAAUUUCUCGUGAAGAUUUCCAUCAACUCAAAACACUCUCUAGCUCAAAACUUUCUAAAAAUUAAUCACAGCUUAGAUCCCACCAUCUUGUUCAAAGUCUAGAGAAUAGUAGAGAGAAUUUUUGUGGUAGUCUACUCCUCAUUCGUGGUCAGAUUCCUUAACAAAUCUAGGAGAAUUCUAGCUUAAAGGGUAAGAGUUCUAAAACUCUUUUUUUUUUUUUUUUUUUUUUUUGAACUUUUCCUUCAAAUGUUAAUCUUGAAAAUUGAUGCACAUAGGAUAUUAUUAGAUUCAAUAGCUUUCGUUGCACGUUUCUUACUCUUUCUUUCAUAUAACAAUUUUAAUCAAUUAACGUAAUAUGCUGACAAUAAAAUGAAUAACAAAUUAAGCAUCUUAAUUAACUACCACAAAUUGGAAAUGAAGGUUAAAUGUUAUUUGUAUAACUACUUUAUGUUAUUGAUAAUGUAUUCAAGUAAUGGAUAUAAUAUAAUAGUAAAUAAAUCCAUGAUACAAGAAAGACAAUUGUGAAUGUAAAGUCCAUAACAAACCUAAAAGAAAAUGGACAAGCAAAGAAAUUAAAUCACAUAGUAUAAAUGAAGUAUAAAAUAAUUAUCAUUCCUAUAUGUUAUGUGUUUUAUAUUCUUUUGAUAUGACAUACUAGUGGAUAUGCUUCAUUGAUAUGUGUCGUUAUUGCUAGUAAUUUGAGAGCAUCUCAGACACAGUUAUAAGAUAUAAAGUUGGUGUUAUUCCUUAAAUCUUUUAUUUCCUUUUUCUCCAACCUCCAUAUUCACCUGAGUUCCUCUAAUUUCCUCUUUCUGGUACCACAUCUUCAUUUUCAUCCCUUCCCACAACAAAUAACUUAAUAAAAUCAUGAAUAAAAGUAUUGAAGAAAUAAACAUAACAAAAUAACUAUUUUAUUAGUCAAACAUAGAUUAUUCCAAACCAUAAAUCAUAUUUUUGAAUUUCCCUAAAAAAUGAUUGAGGAAUGACAAUGUUGUAAAAACCCUUCAUUGCCAAUUACAUAUACUCGUAAAUGUCUCAUAAUUUAAUCACAUUAUGAAUGAAUGAUGCGAGGCUUGUGGUAUUUAAAUUAUAGGUUUAAGGUUGUUCCGUUUGGCAUAGAACUGUGUUUCUCAAUGGGCUAGGAGCAGACCAUCGAAUAAAGCCUUUAGGCUUGCAGUCUAUGAGUCCUCCAACCGGAAUUGAUGGACUUGCACCCAUGUUAUCAUUGAAGGGAACGUCGAAAACGCUUUCUUCUGUUGUAUGUUUUUGAGAUAUCCGAAGCAUGCUUCUUGAAGUUGCCAUUGUAGUGGUGGAAAAAUAGGAGAGGGCCAACAAGGAGAUGAGGAAGAAAACUAGAGUGCAUCGGACUGAAGCCAUUUUAAGAUAAUGCAACAAAUAGAUGAGAGAUUAACGGCGAGACUUUUUUUUUUUUUUCUCUCUCUCUAUUGGAAUGAAGGUGAUUUUACUUUCAUGGGGGAGAGUGCUUUAAAUAUAGUUGAGAAGAGAGAGAGAUGCAUGUGAAGGAAGAUAAGUUUAGAAAAUAUUGGAGGUAAGUUGUUCUAAAAAUAAGCUAGUGCAUUCCAUAACUGGAAAAUCUAUGUUUGUCAUCAAAUAAUAAUGGUUCUAAUGAUUUGACUAAAAUUUAUAACCAUGAUCAG
rnacentral:lncRNA from 1 species